CAUGGAGCUCUGUAUCCCGCUGUGGCGUGGUCCACGUGUCACCUAUCUUCUUCCUCAGGGUGGGGUGGCCUGAGUUAUGAAAUAUCUACCUCAUGAAUAUGCAAAUGCACUGGUGUCUACCGAGGUAAAUACAGAUCUGUCCUUGUCCAGAGAGCAUCACACAACAACCACAUCCCUCCCCUACAGAAGCCCCAGAGCACAGCACCUCACCAUGGACUGGACCUGGAGGCUCCUCCUCUUGGUGGCAGCAGCUACAGGCGCCCACUCCCAGGUGCAGCUGGUGCAGUCUGGGGCUGAGGUGAAGAAGCCUGGGGCCUCAGUGAAGGUCUCCUGCAAGGCUUCCGGAUACACCUUCACUGACUACUACAUGCAGUGGGUGCGACAGGCCCCUGGACAAGGGCUUGAGUGGAUAGGAUGGAUCUACCCUUACAAUGGCAACACAAAGUAUGCACAGAACUUCCAGGGCAGAGUCACCAUGACAAGAGACACAUCAACGAGCACAGUCUACAUGGAGCUGAGCAGCCUGAGAUCUGAGGACACGGCCGUGUAUUACUGUGCGAAAGACACACAGUGUGAAAACCACAUCCUCAGAGUGUCAGAAACCCUGAGGGAGGAGGCAGCUGUGCUGGGGCUGAGGAGACGACAGGAUUUAAAAGGUUUAAACAUGUUUGGAAAAUGGGUUAAGUAAUUGAUGAAAAGAAGCAAUAGAAAAAUGUAUACACUCUAAUUAUAUAGGAAAUAUUAUUUUCAACUUUCACACUGUAAGUAACAUUCAUGGAGUGGGAAAGGCGGCCAUCAAUCAGGCUGAUGCGAACAUUCCCAUGGAGGCUUUGUGGGGACAUAAAUUUUAAAAUGGAAUGGAUACAUCACUUGGAGGAGGAUUACUUGAUCACAAGGUAAGACUAAAUACAAUUUCUAAGAAGUGGCCGACAUUUCUUCCGAAAUAUCUUUGCCACUCCCUUUACACUGCAUUUAUUUGAAAGCCCUUUUUAAGCUCACAGCAAAGUUGAGUAGAAGAAACAGAGUUCCCACGUACUCCUGCCCAAGACAUGCACAGCCUUCUCCAUGAUCAACACCCUGCACUGAAGUAAUAAAUAACCUGCAACUGAUGAACCCGCAUG